GGCCUAAACUCGCCCAAAUCCGCGGGCAUGGCCGAAAAACCCAACAAAGAUACUGAACCCCAUGUUCAGCAACUCUUUGUUGGGUCAUAUCGGGAAACUGAUAUGUGGCCGCAAGGCCU
rnacentral:sRNA from 1 species